CUGAAACUGGGAAUCCACCAAGAUGUCAUUGUAAUGGACCGUUUUGCCCACAAGAGGUUAAAAACAGUUUAGGCGAUAUUCCCCUUUUUCAGCUGCACAGACAGCUACUGCAAGCACCAAUCUCCCGAACUGCAAACCCACGAAUUCACCAACUCCCGAACUGGAGACACACGAAUAGCUGCUAGCAGACGAACAGGAAAAGCCCCCAAGCGGCUUACACUCCUGGCAAUCAGUCUCUAACAGCAUACAGUAAAUCCUCCCCCCAAUUAAUGAGACGACACUCCACUUUGAGGGUUAGGCAGGAACUCUCUGUAAUGGCCACACACUGGCUUUUAUGCAAGUCCCC